CACAUCAUGUUGAAACACCGGUCCCUGCACGAUCACCGAAGUUAAGCAACGUUGAGCCUAGUCAGUAUCUAGAUAGAUGACCGCUUGGGAAUACCAGAUGC